UACGGGGGGGGCAAGCGUUGUUCGGAAUUACUGGGCGUAAAGGGCUCGUAGGCGGCCAACUAAGUCGGACGUGAAAUCCCCAGGCUCAACCUGGGAACUGCGUCCGAUACUGGAUGGCUUGAAUCCGGGAGAGGGAUGCAGAAUUCCAGGUGUAGCGGUGAAAUGCGUAGAUAUCUGGAGGAACACCGAUGGCGAAGGCAGGUCUCUGGGCAUUAACUGACGCUGAGGAGCGAAAGCAUGGGGAGCGAACAGG
rnacentral:rRNA from 1 species